AGGGCCCGUAAAAUACUUAACGUAUUAUACUUAGUUUUAUACAUGUAUAAUACACGUAAAUUACCGGUUGGGUUUCUUACGUGACGUAUUUUACGUUAGGUAUUUCAACACCAUCUACCGAACUUUUGAUGAACUUAAAUUAAAUUAUAAUAUCAUAAAGAAAAAAAUAUGCAAAGAGGAGGUCGACCGAAGCACAGUUUUUGGGAAGAAGGAGAAUUUCAGCGUAUUCGUGAAAACGGAAAACAAGUUGCAUCAUGUGUAAAGUGUAAAAAAAUAAUGAAUAAUACCGCUGAACAACGAUUGAAGAGUCACAGGAAGUCGCGUAUUUGGGAAAACUCUGAUUCAAUUUCUGAAUCUGAAGAUAACUGUAAUAUAACAUUGUCUAAAAAACGAAGAAAUCUUU
rnacentral:lncRNA from 1 species